GCGGAAGUGGCUCAGUGGUAGAGCAUCUCCUUGCCAAGGAGAGAGUCGCGGGUUCGAAUCCCGUCUUCCGCU
rnacentral:tRNA from 1 species